rnacentral:rRNA from 1 species
UACGGAGGGAGCUAGCGUUGUUCGGAAUUACUGGGCGUAAAGCGCACGUAGGCGGCUUUGUAAGUUAGAGGUGAAAGCCCGGGGCUCAACCCCGGAAUUGCCUUUAAGACUGCAUCGCUUGAAUCCGGGAGAGGUGAGUGGAAUUCCGAGUGUAGAGGUGAAAUUCGUAGAUAUCAAGCGGAACACCGGUGGCGAAGGCGGCCUUCUGGACAGUAACUGACGCUGAGACGCGAAAGCGUGGGGAGCAAACAGG